rnacentral:lncRNA from 1 species
ACAAUAGAUUAUGGAAAUUAGUCAGAAUAAAUAGGCCUGGAUGGCCUCAGCAGCACUGUGGUGUCAACGGGUCUCAUUGAAUAUGCUCAGAAGCAUGUAACUGUUUGUUUCUCUGCCACAUACAUUUUUCCACAAGAUGAGGAAUGAGCUUGAAAAUGAUACCUGAAUUAAUUUGCAGUUUCCCCUCGACUCUUGGUGUCCUGUGGAAACAGAGCAUUGGUAAAGCAGAUCACAUCACACUGCUGUUCUGCCUUAAAUGGGUCCUCAAUGGUUGGAGAUCUCUUCCACUGUGGUAUUUCUGUUGCUCAAGCACCCACCGCUGUAUUCUAAUACCUCUGCUGACGGGAGUUUUCUGCUGAAACUACGUCACUUACAGAAGAAGAGGAUGGAGUAAUGGCUUCAGGAGAUGUCUCCUGCCCAGGGAGGAGAUAUGAUGGGAGGUGCUGCAAUGGAUAUUUGUUUGGUCCUAAUCCAUCGUUAUCUACUGGCUGGAGGAUUCAGACCAACUGACUGCAUUUGGAUGAGUCUAAAUUCAUUGGGUUCCCUGCUGAAAUCAGCAACCCGACUUCAUGAGAAUUAAGGUUUUUGCCCUUUUCAAGUUAAGAGAAUACUUGAGUUCUAGAGCCACAUGACUUUUUGGGAAAGGUGAACCAAGACAGGGUUUUUUCUGGUAUAAAACUGUGCAGCUGCAGGGUAGGAAGACUUUUCCUUAUCAUUAUGUAGUAUUAUUUUGCAUACUGGUGCAGUGUAACAUAAGGGAAUGGGCUGUGAUUUCACCUGCAACCCUUAAGUGCAAGAACAGGAAGUAAUGCCCUCAAAAGCUCUUUAAAGUCUUAUUUAGGUAGAAAUGUCCAAUUCCCUUUUGAUUGAACUGGUGUCUUGUAAUGAUAGUGGCUUUAUUUUAAUUAAAACUAACACACACACCCCUAACCUGUACUUCUAGUGACUAACCUCUAAUAGGAGAUGAUCACUUUGCCUUUUAGAAACUUUCAUUUGGGAGCUGCUUAAAUAUUUUAUUUUUGUUAAUUGAAACACUCUGGUGUUUUCAUGUAGGAAUUUAGUUGGUUUUGUAAAUUCCUUGCAGGGGUUGAAAACUUCUACCUCAUUUUCUAGGACAUUUGUCUGUGAGCAAGGCUUGAAAUUGAGAGGUUUUCUCAAUUGCUGGAAUUCCACAGUAAAUGUCA